UACGGGGGGGGCUAGCGUUGUUCGGAAUUACUGGGCGUAAAGGGCUCGUAGGCGGCCAACUAAGUCAGACGUGAAAUCCCUCGGCUUAACCGGGGAACUGCGUCUGAUACUGGAUGGCUUGAGUUUGGGAGAGGGAUGCGGAAUUCCAGGUGUAGCGGUGAAAUGCGUAGAUAUCUGGAGGAACACCGGUGGCGAAGGCGGCAUCCUGGACCGAUACUGACGCUGAGGAGCGAAAGCCAGGGGAGCAAACGGG
rnacentral:rRNA from 1 species